CACAAUUAAACAUUGCCAGAGCCAGCUCCCAACUGAGUUGCAAAGAAAGAUGUAAACACACACACACACACACACACACACACACACACACAAAGACCCACCACACUCACACACUUUUCAAGCUGAAAAGAAAAUUAAUCAAAAGCCCAGUGAAUGCCUGAACUCUAUAAUUAAGCCUAAAUGAUCCUUCGAUAGAAAGGGAGCUGAGUGAGCCAGCUCAGUGCCCACAGAUAUUUUUACCUCAGAGUCUUAUUGCCAUUAAUUUCUUUUGAGAUCUUGUGUACAUCUGGUUCCAUUCCCUGGUAUGACAUCUGCCUGUGGAAGGUCUUCCAGAGAGUUGCCAGUUCAUUGGCCAGAGGACAGCCAAGGUUGUUCGGUCAUUUUCAGAAUGCAUCCUGGGAGAUGGGGUAGCAUUGCCUCUCCCUCUUCCCCAACAACUGUGACCCUUCCCUGGACAGAUCAAGAUAGUCGGAUCAUGUCCAGAUGUCUAAAGCAUCGCCUGAGAGAUGACAUUGUCACCUUGGUAGAGCCAUGGGGUCUGGAGCUGGUUGCAGACCCUCAGGUCUCUUCUACUUGGCAACCCCAAACCAGCUCAGGGAAACCCUUCUGCUGCCAGUCUCCACUCCCCCGUGCCACCUUGCUGGAGAGGCCUAAACACUGAGCAGCGAUGGAAAGAAAGGCGAUUACUGUACAGCCCCACAGGAAGCAGCUCAGGGGAGAAUUCCUGGUAGGAACGCCAAGAGACCUUUUGGAAAGGCUGAGCCUCAGGUUUGGGCCAGACUUGAAAUCCCUGCCCAAUUCACUGAGUUUAAGUGGCCAGCGAAACCAGCUUGUUCUUCCUGUCACAGACUCAGGCCAGAGAUAGGGAGAAAAUCUUGUGUACUCAGAGCUUUCUCUACUGGCCUGACUGCUCCUGUCAUUGUGGCUGGCACCUCACAAUUUGGAGCAGUAUAGAUUUGUCAUGUCUCCUAGUAGACAAGGCAAAGCCCAGCAAGCAGAACCACAUGGCAGAGACUAAGGAGGAGGAAAUGAGCACUGGCUGGUGGCUCCAGAAGCUGAAGCCCUGGACAGCUGGUUUCCAUUAAAUCGCGUGCCAUCCUGCCUGUCUCCUCGCCACCCUCCCAUCCUGUGACCAGUCCCUCCUAUCCAGUACCCUACCAUGUGCCCAACUGGGCCGACUGGUUGGCUGGUGGCGGGCUGUGUUGAAUUGGGAGUUAUGCCUGCUGUAUCUUUUUUGUGUGUGGAAAGAUUGGGUUCAUCCAGACCUCAAGUCCAUCCCAAACCCACCCGGUGAAGCCUCCCAAGGACAAAGAGCUGGUCAGCCUGGGCUUCAAUAUCUAACAUGGCCCAGCCUUGGUUCCCAAACCCUGCCUCCUGUCCCUACACAGUCUUGGGUAGGAAACAGAGGAAGGUGUGGACUCCCCUGCUCCUCCCCCUCCACGUGGGUGGCCAGUGUUAAUAAUCUCUUGUGCUUUCUCCAAGGUCUCCAAUCCUUGGAGAGCCAGGGCCAAAGCAGUGCUUUCCCCUACCAUGGCCAGGCUGAGUGCCUUCCAGUGGCCAAGGGUAGAGUGUACAUGAUCAGAAUUAGUGGAACAAGUGGAGAACUCCCCUAAGAGAACAAAAAUGUUGUGAUUGUUUUAUUUAUUGCUUUAUUUAUCGGCAUACCUACUGACUUAAUUUACUUAUGAAAUAUGUAUUUAUUCUACAGCAGAAAGUCCACUUCCCUCUUUGAAGCAUCAAUCCCAGAAUGUGUCUUCUUGGCCCCCGUAGAGCACAGUGAAUUAUUCCUCUUGGAAGACACAGGAAAAAGAGGGGAAAGUCUCUCCUUAUGCCCAAACACUUCCACCCCAGCCAGAUUUUUCAACCAGAAAUGACAUUAGAAAACACCAGCUAGAAGGCUGUAAAGCCACCACCCAAAUCAGCACAGGCUCGACUGUCUAGACCGAAACUCUGAGAAUCCUCUCAACCCACUCCCCUUGUACCUAUGCUCCCCUUCAACUCUUUCCCUGACUAGAGUCCUCAUCCUGCUUUGGGGCCAUAUCCUUAUCACCAGGUGCACAUUAGAAUCAUCUGAGGAGCUAGAAAGAGUGUCCAUGCCUGAUGUCCUCUCCAAAACAGUUACAGCAGAAUCUCCAAGGGUAGAUGUCAGGCAUCCGUGCUUUCUAAGUUCCCCCAGAUAACUCCAAUGUGAAAAUAGGGUUAAGAAGUAUUUCUGGUGUCUUCCGUUCUUCACCCCUCUCCACAACCCAGAACCCAUCCUCCUGUCAUUCCCAAGCUUCCUCUAGAGUCCUCUUCCCAUUCCUCCAGCUGACUUCCUCCCUGACAGAUCCCUGGAGUGGUAGCAGGUCCCCGGAGCCAAAUGCUGAGAGUGGGGUCUGCUCCCAGGUAGGUGAUUUCCAACUUUUCUAGGAGCAGAAACCUGUCCCCUGCCUGGAUUCUCUCUCCACCUGUGCCUCCCCCAGUCUCCCAAACUCUAGAAGUUUAAAAGGGCACAUCAUUGACAUUCCUGUCUCCAAGUCCCAAUCCUAACGGUAAGACUCAUGCCAGUUUUUAUAAUCCAAGGCUUGGCCAUUUCUGCUGUUCCAUCUCAAUAACAGAAGGUCUACUGGUGACCAAGGAAGGGGUCCCAUUGCCCCCAAGCUAAGUCCUUUGUCCAAAAUCCUGGCGGCAGCCACCACACAUCCAAAUCCUAGAUGGCUGAGAAGAGGCGUCUCACCCUUGACAUUUAUGAGAGCCACACUGCUGAGUGUGAGUAAAUGUGUGUGUAAAUGUAUGUGUGCAUGUGUACAUAUGCAUACACUGUCUGCCUGUUCACUAUCUAGGUCUAUAGAGAUACUAAUUUCAACUUUACAGUGAUGACAUUUUCCAUGAAAGCAAUUGAGGACUUUGCUGUCUUUCACUCACUGGAGUUGUACUAUUUCAGGAUGGGCUCAAGUGAAUCUUAUAUUCUAUAUAUACGCAGAAUGUUGUAAUAUUAAAAACUGCUGGGCACACUACACACACACACACACACACACACACACACACACAGCACCUAUGGAAGCCUGUGCUGUGGGAAGAGCUCAUUUUGUUAACCUUCAUCCCCCGUCUAAGUACUUUCCUGGGACAAGCACCAUGUUGCACCCCUCAGCUGCCUGGCCCCUCCCCAUCCUUCAUUCAUACCACCAGGCAUCCUUUUCCAACUCAUUCAUCAGAAUGUCCCUGCCCCAAGUCCCAUCUCUCAGGGUCCUGCUCUCUGACAGGUGGCAAUUCAGCAGUGGGUGCUAAAGAGUUGAGUGUUAGUUUCCCAGGUGACAUUUAUGUUUUAAAGGGGCUACAGAUAAUGCCUUAAUCCAGAGGAGAGCUGUAGUGGUGGAAAUUCCAGGCACAGAAGUGGGCUGGUAAGGGAGCUUUUUUUUUUUUUUGGUACCAGGGAUCAAACUCGGGACCUUGUGCUUUUGAGACAGGUGGUGGAACCACUGAGCUGAAUCCCUGGCCCCAGGAGCUUAUUUUUAUCAGAGGGCAUUUCAGAGCCCCCCACAUCAUACCCGUCUCUCAGAUCAGCCCUUCCUAAGCACGUAAGCACAAGAAAGCACACUUACUGAUAUAGAUGUUCCAGAAUUUUGAGAUACCUCCCUUACAUUGGCCCUGUCUUAAAAAUGAAAAAAGAAAAAAAAAAACAGUUAAAUUAAUUUAAACCUCCUUGGGUAAUGUAGCUUAUUUUUCACCAGGCACUAGCCAUCUGGUCUACCCCACCCUGUUCCAGUUUCUUCCUGCUCCUUGUGUUUUCUGCUACAGCCGCAUCUGUUAAUUUGGUCAUAUAUGUCCACUCUGCUGUCUCCUUUCCUGCUCUCCCCCAUAUGUCCGUCCUUCCCUGCUUCCCCCUGGAAUUGUCCUGUUUGUCGGUGUUGUCGAGGACAGAAGAGCAGGUUAAGCGCAUGAGCAUGUGUGUAUCACUUUGAAGAAAGAGAAACCAGGUAUUCUGCUACAGUUCGGAGAAAAACCCAAUGAAGGGAGAGAUGAAAGCUGGCUCUGCAGAGUGCCUUAAAAUGACUUUACUUAGGAAAUUCUGAGUUGUCAGUCUUUGGAUGUUACAUGAACUCAACAGAUGUUGCAUUUCACUUCUCUGGGAUUAAAAAAAGUUAAAUACAGUAUGAUUCAACAAUGACAACAAAGUAUAUUUUCUCUUUAAUUUGUUCCUUAAAUAUGUAGUGUCUGAUU
rnacentral:lncRNA from 1 species